AGAGAAAGGUGGUCCUGAGAGCCAGUGGGAGGAUCCCUCCUGGGAUGACCGGUACCAAACCUCGAGCACCAGGGUGCGAUGCUUCGGCUGGGGAAGUCUGGCAGUCUUCAAGGUUAUGGGACCUGGCGAGUGGGAGCGACUCAGGACGACCCAGCGUUUGUCCCCCGGGAUGCCUACGGGGCAGUAGGCGCGGGGCUGCGCGUGCCGUAACCUUGGCGUCUUCCGAGCACAGCCCCUGGAAGCUGCUAGCCUGAGGGGCGCAGGAGAGGGGGUCUGCCCUUCGCUGAAUUCCGGGGAAGGGGCAUGGACUAGCCCCCAAAUCAGCUUCCUUUGCCAUUGUGGUAAAACCUGUCAGAGAUCACUUACUAGUAAUGCUAAGGAAUAUUUGUAAAACACAUUUCACAGUUUUAUAAAUAAAAUGAGGCCGAAAAGUUUAAAUGAGUCUUUGGCUGCUCAGUCAGUAAGUGGUAGAAUUGAGAUUUGAACCCACGGAAUCACCCAGAAGAUCGAGUUUGAAAAAAUGUUAUGCUGUUUGUGCUGCAUCUCACCAUGGUGCUUUACAUAUCAUGACCCCUUCCUGGCAUCUUAGGUGCGAUGCUUCAGUACCUCUGUGGUCAGACCAUUUGCCAAGCUUGUGAGGCCUCCUGUUCAGGUAUACGGUAUUGAAGGUCGC
rnacentral:lncRNA from 1 species